GGAUGAACGCUAGCUACAGGCUUAACACCUGCAAGUCGCGGGGCAGCAUGGGGGUUGCUUGCAAUCCCCGAUGGCGACCGGCGCACGGGUGAGUAACGCGUAUCCAACCUGCCCUUCACCACGGGAUAACCCGGCGAAAGUCGGACUAAUACCGUAUGUUGUCCAUUGACGGCAUCCGACUUGGACGACAGGUUUGGCGGCGAAGGAUGGGGAUGCGGCCGAUUAGCUGGACGGCGGGGUGACGGCCCACCGUGGCGACGAUCGGUAGGGGUUCUGAGAGGAAGGUCCCCCACGCUGGAACGGAGACACGGUCCAGACUCCUACGGGAGGCAGCAGUGAGGAAGAUUGGGCAAGGGGCGUAAGCCUGAACCAGCCAAGUAGCGUGCAGGAUGACGGCCCUAUGGGCGGUAAACUGCUUUUAUGCGGGGAUACAGUGGCCCACGUGUGGGUUUUUGCAGGUACCGCAUGAAUAAGGACCGGCUAAUUCCGUG
rnacentral:rRNA from 1 species